rnacentral:rRNA from 1 species
GAUGAACGCUGGCUACAGGCUUAACACAUGCAAGUCGAGGGGAAACGCCGGGGUUUCUUGCUUCCCCGGGCGUCGACCGGCGCACGGGUGAGUAACGCGUAUCCAACCUGUCUCUGACUUAGGGUUAACCCGUCGAAAGUCGGCCUAAUACCUCAUUGUUUCUUCUCCGUGCUUCCAACUACGUUUAAAGUUUUCUUCGGUCAGGGAUGGGGAUGCGUCUGAUUAGCUUGUUGGCGGGGUAACGCCCCACCAAGGCUACGAUCAGUAGGGGUUCUGAGAGGAAGGGCCACCACAGGGGAACUGAGAAACGGGAGAAACGGCGAGGGGAGGGAGGAGUAAGGAAGAGUGGGCAAGGGGAGAGAGCAUGAAACAGCCAAGUAGGGUGCAGGAAGACGGCCAUAUGGGUUGUAAACUGCUUUUAAGAGGGGAAAAAGUGAGGGACGAGUCACUAAUUGAAGGUACCGAAUGAAUAAGGACCGGCUAAUUACGUG